AAAAGCACAGGUGAGACAAAUUUCAUUAACGACCGCCCAUUUUAUGUAAGCGUCCCCAGUGAGCUGCACACUCCACAACCUGGAUCACUUUAGUGGUUUAGCAGUCAUUCUUAACUGUGUUUCUCCUGCUGAGGUAAACUGUUGAAUGUGUCUAGGGAGGGAAAAUUUGGGUCAGUUUCUGCAGUCAGAAAAUCGAUGGACUAUUGAAACUUUCUCAGCACAUGCCGUCAAGGGAAAGGAAGGACAACUAUUUCACCUUGCAGAAGUUUAAACUGGUUUUCAAGGGUUAAAGAGGGGCUGGAGCCUGCAGCUCUCAUAGGGUAAGAGGCACAGUAGACCCUGGGAAAGUCCUCCUUCUCUCUUCCUCCUCGUCGUCUGCACUGCUGCAGGAAGCAGCGUAUGACCACCCAACACAAAGCAGCGGCAGUCAUCAAAGUGAUG